rnacentral:rRNA from 1 species
AUACGGAGGAUGCGAGCGUUAUCCGGAUUUAUUGGGUUUAAAGGGAGCGUAGGUGGGAUAUUAAGUCAGCUGUGAAAGUUUGGGGCUCAACCUUAAAAUUGCAGUUGAUACUGGUUUCCUUGAGUACGGUACAGGUGGGCGGAAUUCGUGGUGUAGCGGUGCAAUGCUUAGAUAUCACGAAGAACUCCGAUCGCGAAGGCAGCUCACCGGGCCGGAACUGACACUGAUGCUCGAAAGUGCGGGUAUCAAACAGGAUUAGAUACCCUGGUAGUCCGCACAGUAAACGAUGAAUACUCGCUGUUUGCGAUACACUGUAAGCGGCCAAGCGAAAGCGUUAAGUAUUCCACCUGGGGAGUACGCCGGCAACGGUGAAACUCAAAGGAAUUGACGGGG